rnacentral:rRNA from 1 species
ACGGAGCUAAUACCGGAUAAUAUUUUGAACCGCAUGGUUCAAAAGUAGAAAGAACGGUCUUGCUGUCACUUAUAGAUGGAUCCGCGCUGCAUUAGCUAGUUGGUAAGGUAACGGCUUACCAAGGCAACGAUGCAUAGCCGACCUGAGAGGGUGAUCGGCCACACUGGAACUGAGACACGGUCCAG